rnacentral:rRNA from 1 species
GUGAACGCUGGCGGUAGGCCUAACACAUGCAAGUCGAACGGCAGCACAGUAAGAGCUUGCUCUUACGGGUGGCGAGUGGCGGACGGGUGAGGAAUACAUCGGAAUCUACUUUUUCGUGGGGGAUAACGUAGGGAAACUUACGCUAAUACCGCAUACGACCUACGGGUGAAAGCAGGGGAUCUUCGGACCUUGCGCGUUUGAAUGAGCCGAUGUCGGAUUAGCUAGUUGGCGGGGUAAAGGCCCACCAAGGCGACGAUCCGUAGCUGGUCUGAGAGGAUGAUCAGCCACACUGGAACUGAGACACGGUCCAGACUCCUACGGGAGGCAGCAGUGGGGAAUAUUGGACAAUGGGCGCAAGCCUGAUCCAGCCAUACCGCGUGGGUGAAGAAGGCCUUCGGGUUGUAAAGCCCUUUUGUUGGGAAAGAAAAGCAGCAGGUUAAUACCCCGCUGUUCUGACGGUACCCAAAGAAUAAGCACCGGCUAACUUCGUG